rnacentral:rRNA from 1 species
AGAGUUUGAUCCUGGCUCAGAUUGAACGCUGGCGGCAGGCCUAACACAUGCAAGUCGAGCGGUAGAGAGGUGCUUGCACCUCUUGAGAGCGGCGGACGGGUGAGUAAUACCUAGGAAUCUGCCUGGUAGUGGGGGAUAACGUUCGGAAACGGACGCUAAUACCGCAUACGUCCUACGGGAGAAAGCAGGGGACCUUCGGGCCUUGCGCUAUCAGAUGAGCCUAGGUCGGAUUAGCUAGUUGGUGAGGUAAUGGCUCACCAAGGCUACGAUCCGUAACUGGUCUGAGAGGAUGAUCAGUCACACUGGAACUGAGACACGGUCCAGACUCCUACGGGAGGCAGCAGUGGGGAAUAUUGGACAAUGGGCGAAAGCCUGAUCCAGCCAUGCCGCGUGUGUGAAGAAGGUCUUCGGAUUGUAAAGCACUUUAAGUUGGGGAGGAAGGGCAUUAACCUAAUACGUUAGUGCUUUGACGUUACCGACAGAAUAAGCACCGGCUAACUCUGUGCCAGCAGCCGCGGUAAUACAGAGGGUGCAAGCGUUAAUCGGAAUUACUGGGCGUAAAGCGCGCGUA